rnacentral:tRNA from 1 species
GCCCGGGUGGCGAAAUGGUAGACGCAGGGGACUUAAAAUCCCCCGAUGCAAGUCGUGCGGGUUCGAGUCCCGCCCCGGGCA